rnacentral:misc_RNA from 1 species
GAUUCCUAUUUACAUCUUUAUAUAUCAAGUAGCGUGAACGCGUCUUGCCCAGAGCAGCAUACCAUUGAGGUACAAAUGGUGCCAUCCAAAUAGCAUCACCAGUUUGAAUAGGGUACCAGCUAUCACUUAGUCGAUAAAUGCCUUGCCCCUCCAGCAGCAGCAAACCAUGCUGGUUAUAAUGAACUUCCUUGACAUUGAGAAAUUCUCCUGGUUGAAAAUCCAUGAUGUGUAUAUUGAAAUCAUAAGCUAAAGACGUUGGAAGAAGCUUCCUUAGCUCAAAAAUCUCGCCAGGAGUUUCAAGAAGGGGCUGCUUGUCUGUUGAACCGACAAUUUGCUCAGGAACAUGAUUUUCCAAGCCAGAAUACCUCCUUUCAAAUACAAUAAGAGUAGCAGCUGCAUCAGUUUCCACUGAGUGAUCCAAAUUGGGAGGCAGAUAAGCAUAUG